rnacentral:lncRNA from 1 species
GUAACGAAAGGCCUCGUAACUCAUGACCCUGUAAAGCGCCUUUGACGGAACCUGCAGUAGCCAGUCUUUUGAGAGCUUCACGAGCAACGUCGGCGUUCCCAGUGGCAUCUGCAGCAUCUAUAAGGUCGAGAAACUCCUUUGCGAAUUUCACUAUUCCCUCCACCGCUUCAACAACGUCUUCUUUCUUCUCAGCUGUCAAAGAGAGAAUGUCACUCAAAUCAAGGCCUAGACCGUCCUGUCCAAUGUCCCUGCUAUUGCUCAUUGUGAGGAGACAAUGAAGAGCCCUCUUCAGAUCAUUGCUCUGCAUCGCUAGAUCAAACUCCAGCCUGAGAACACAUAAAAGACUGAGAAUAGUAGGAGCAGCUUGAAGGAACUUGCUGCACCAAACAUAAUAUGGUUUUUUUACCUCUUUGAUAUUCCAGGCAAAUGAAGAGCUUCUGUAGCAUAUCCCAUUCCUAGCAUGAACUGUGCCAGAUCGUCAUGAUGUUCUCUCCCAAGCCUACUUGCCCUGCGCAACAAACAAAAAAAAGUUGAGGUAGGUUCCAGCUAGAUUUGCGUAAACGGGUUUACUGAGAAAUGUAUCAAUACCAUUUAACAGCACUAAUAGCAUCCCCAUACGCAGCAAGACAUCGACAGCGGAUACCAGGAUGGUUCAGUGAUAUGGCAUGUGCACACAUGUACCUACCAAAAAAGUGGAAGUUGUCUCAGUAGUUCAAUCUUUAUAUGAUCAUUCAAGUGACUGAGAUGACUAUCAUGGCAAGAUAUUGUAACUCUGUGACUAAAUGUAUUUGUUGUAAAGAGUCAGUAUUGCUUUAAGGUAAGAACAUAGACUUGAUACCUGUCAAUGAGCCAAAGAACACCAUCCCGUACGCCAGCAACAACAAGAGGCCCUACUGGUCGUUUUUGCUCCACUGGGAAACGAGUAACAGCAACUGAGACUCCCCCACCACCUACAGCUACCUCACUGGCCCUUCUUUCGUCCAUGUCAUCGCCAUCACCUCUGGAUUGUCUCGGCAGUGAUAAAAAUGGUGGAACAGAUGGAGCAUUUUGGAAAGAAGCUAGACGCACCACCUACAAUAAAAAAAGGAUACGCAUGAGUGCAAAAGACACAAGCUUAGACCUGAAAAAUUGAGCUUCAAAAAUCAAUUAUAUUUAUCUCAUAAAAUAGCAAGAAAUGUCCACCUGCAGCAAGGGGGCCCUCAAAGAUAUCUUUUCUUGCUUGGAACUCUGGGCACCUUCUACUGUGAUUAAGGCUAAUUCUCCAUGCUCCGCAACUGCUCUAGCCUGUGCCUCCUUAAGUUUCAUUUCUUCCUUCAUCUUCCUAGUCUCUAUAUCAAUUUCAGUAACUCCCGCGUCCACAAAAACACAUCUGGAAAUCCAGGCAUGGAAGAAAGUAUUAGCAUUCAAGCCUCAGAGUAACUGAUUCAAAACAGAGAGAAGCCCUUGGAUCAUAUGUAUAACGCCUAAUCUUACUCAAUCGUGGUUUGUGUAGCCACAAACAGCUGCCUGCGGUGCCAAACAGCUCCAGUAGCAUGUGAGAUGGCAACAUUACCAAGAUAUCUAUACUGAGGGCGCAAGGACGAUAUGACCAUGUAUUGUUGAUAAGCAAAAGCACAAUACUCAACUGUUUUGUCCCAUGCCGUCCACUCUGGCUGAGGUAGCAUCCCACCUACUGGCUCAAAAUUUUCCCAACUACACAGUGAAACUUCUAUGAGGACUUAUAUGGAACUGAGAUACUUUAACAUUAAUGCCAUCACCUGAAAGAGGAAACCAAAAUGGAACCACUAAUCACCUGUAGAGCUGGUAGUUUAGCGGUGCGGACUCGGUAGAUCUCUGUGAAGAACCAUCAUCAUAGCUAGAAAACGAAGAAACAUUACUGUUUCCAAAUCCUGAAAGUGGCAUCGACUGAAUGGUUGAAAUAGCUGUUGCAGAAACAGGACUAAUUCUUCGGGACGUGCGAUAGCCUAUUCCAAGUAGAGCGCCGCCAUGCAGACCAAUGACCUGCAAGGAGAAAUUUAAGCAUAAGACUAUUGCUUACUACGCCUAGAAGUCAAGCACUUCAACAGAUCUGCUCAGAGGAUCUGAGACAAGUGAAAAAAUGAUGAAUUAAAUAUGAAAGAUGGCUAUUUUAGGAAACUAAUCCCUAGCUAAGACUAGAACACAUGGAAUGCAAUACCUCCAGUAAAAGACACAUACCGGUUCAGAGCGACCUCCUACAGAUCUCAUGAGGAUGUUUGAGGUUCCAUCAUCUAAGAGAAUACGAACUUGGACACUAGCUGAUGAAGCUGCAUUAGCAGCGGCAGCAGCUUGCGCCGCGGCUGCAGCCGCUUCUUUCGCCUUUCUUGAUGAACCACCCUUUGGGAAAGAGGAGGAGGUUGAGAAGAAUGGGGAAGAGAGACUUAUCGCCAAUCGGACAACUACAAGACAAUUCAACUUAAUCUAUACUUCUGGACGAUUCAGAGGGUUCAGUUUUAUCGUAAUGGGCCAAAUAUGGGCUUUCAAAUGUAUUUUGAUUUCCGAUUCGAACUUGGUUAUUGGGUUACGCUUCACUAUACGUAACUCGAGAGAUUUUUUUUUAAUAUAAAAAAGUUAUAAAAAAAAUUCGAACAGUAAUAUAAAAAAAUAAUAAUACAAACAAUUAAUGAAAAUAAAUCAGAAAACAAAAAAUGACACACUACAAAAAUAAAACUAAUCCCUAGUGCAAUACAAAAAAUGACACAUUACAAAAAAUGAAACUAACCAUUUAAUGUUAUGUGAUGUAAUGCAAUGAAAACAAAUCAGAAAACAAAAGAGGACACAAUAAAAAAUGAAACUGAUGCCAAAUGGAACUAAAAUUAAACAAACAAGCAUCUUCCUCUCCCUGUAGUCAAUGACUCAAUGUGACCACAUAGUUUGAUCAAUGAAUAAUAUAUCUAAAAGAUAUACAGUCUCGUUGUGUUUUAUUUUCGGGAUUAUUCUGUGAGUGUUCAAAAAAAAAAAAAAAAAAAAAAAGGGAUUAUUCUGUGCAAAAACUUGGCUUAGUCAUUCAAGAAGUCGAAGUCAAUUGGUUGGCUUCUUAUUGGAGGAUAGGUUACUUGUGGCCUCUCGGUUGCUGCAUUUUCAGUUGGCUUCACUGUUGUUGUUGUUGUAGUAGUUUCAGGUGGCGGUGGUGGCGGCACUGUUUGGCUGUUAUCCUCUGUUGCUACAGCUGUUUCUGUUUUUACAGUUGAAUCCGGAUCGCUUUUGUCUUCCACAGACGUUACCUCCUUUUCUGGCGCAGGAGGCUCAGACACUGUCUCUGUCACUGGCCCGUCUACAUGUGCUGCUGACUCUGCAACAGCUGCAGUUUCCGGUGCAGCUGACUCCGCAACAGCUGCAGUUUCUGGAGCAGCUGACGCAGCAGCAGACACAGUUUCAGGUGCUGCUGACUCAGCAGCUGCAGUUUCCGGGGCUGCUGACUCAGAAUCAGCUGCAGUUUCCGGGGCAGCUGACUCAGAAUCAGCUGCAUUUUCCGGGGCAGCUGACUCAGGAUCAGUUGCAGUUUCAGGCGCUGACUCGGUCUGUGGUGUCUCUUCAGAAGAUGGAGGAGGAGCUUCAAUAGCCAAUGGCUUAGCUGGUUCUUCAAUAGCCAAUGGCUUAGUUGGCUCUGGCUGUGGAGUCUUCAUUGUGGGGAGAGGUUUCUUGGGCGCAGAAAUGGAAGCAAAGAUCGAAGACAUUCCAGGAGGUAGAAUCUCUAUCGGAGGCUUUUUAGAUGCAUCAGACAGACUCGUGAGCUUUGGAUCCUCAAGAGAAGCCAAAAACGCACUUGCCGCAUCGGUUUUAGUAGAUGAAACUUGCUCAACUUCCUUCUGCAGCGUUUUAUUCCAAGCCUGGACCAAGUUCUUUAGACUAGGACGACCAUGUGCCUGUGUGAUAGAUAAUCAGAAACAAUAAAAGGUUCAUAAAAAAAAAGCAAACUCUAAGAUUGGUGAAACUGUAAUCUUACAUGAGCAUGAAGUACAGCUUCUGCGAGCAUUCCUGUGUCUUGCCACGUCUUCUCCAUAAGCGCAUUGUCUCCCAGAACUGCAGCAGAAAAUGCUGACUCUCUCCCUAGGCCUAUGGAGAUCAGAUUGUUUAUCAGACCCUGCAACAAAGUUAAAAUAGCCUUUCAAUUAGAAACCUGAAAGAUACAAAGUAUAAUAUUCCAAAAUUUUAACUUCGAAAACCACCUAUUAUAGGCUGGAUUCGGUUAGAUUAGUUCAACAUAAAUCGUACCGGAAUGAUCCGAAAUAUUGAUCCAGUUAGGUAUUCGAUUAGUUCAGCUUUUGAAAAUCUAGCUGAAUUUUUUUUCCGGUUAAUUUCAGUUAAAUUUGGUUAAUUCGGUUAGUUCGGGUUUUUGUAUGAUUUAAGAUAAAUUCUUUUUAAGAAGAAAACCGAAAUAACCUAUUGCCAAACCUAAAACCGAUUAUUUUUAAAAAACCUACCGAAUCGAACCAAAAUUUCGGUUCGGUUCGGUCUAAAACCCCAUGCCUAACCUAUUAUGUCUACAAUAAUAACCAAAUUAGAGGCGGAAAGAAAGAGAAGUGGCGGACAUACACUUAAGCGUGUCAAUUCUCCAUGGUUAGCUAGGCGUAACGAAAGGCCUCGUAACUCAUGACCCUGUAAAGCGCCUUUGACGGAACCUGCAGUAGCCAGUCUUUUGAGAGCUUCACGAGCAACGUCGGCGUUCCCAGUGGCAUCUGCAGCAUCUAUAAGGUCGAGAAACUCCUUUGCGAAUUUCACUAUUCCCUCCACCGCUUCAACAACGUCUUCUUUCUUCUCAGCUGUCAAAGAGAGAAUGUCACUCAAAUCAAGGCCUAGACCGUCC